GGGUCGGGAUUUUCCGGAUCACUUUCUUCAAAACCCAUUAGGGUUCAUAUUUACGCCCCCUCUGAGCAGAGCUCUUCUCUCUACCAGAUUCCUGGAAAACGUUCCAUCCCUAAUUACCUAGAGACUCGUUUUACUUGGUGAGCAUCAUAAAUGAGCACCACGGUGCAUAGAACUCCCAAAACUGGGGGCAAAUCGUUGUUUUUCCAAGAUUUGGCUUCCCCCAUUUCUGCACGGAGAGGUAAAUUUUCAAGUCCAGGUCAGGCAGCGGCAGUCUCUGCUCUAUGGCGGGAAAA